rnacentral:rRNA from 1 species
AGAGUUUGAUUCUGGCUCAGGACGAACGCUGGCGGCGUGCUUAACACAUGCAAGUCGAACGAAGCAAUUAAUCAGACAUCUUCGGAUAGACGAUUAAUAGACUUAGUGGCGAACGGGUGAGUAACGCGUGGAUAACCUACCCAUCAGUGGGGGAUAACAGCUGGAAACGGCUGCUAAUACCGCAUAACCUUUCCACUACACAAGUAGCAGAAAGCAAAGAUGGCCUCUUCGAGAAAGCUAUCACUAAUGGCAGGGUCCGCGUCUGAUUAGCUAGUUGGUAAGGUAAAAGCUUACCAAGGCCACGAUCAGUAGCCGGCCUGAGAGGGUGGACGGCCACACUGGGACUGAGACACGGCCCAGACUCCUACGGGAGGCAGCAGUGGGGAAUAUUGUGCAAUGGGGGCAACCCUGACACAGCGACGCCGCGUGAGCGAAGAAGGCCUUAGGGUCGUAAAGCUCUGUUAUACGGGACGAACACUAUAUAUGUGAACAACAUAUAUAGCUGACGGUAUCGUACGAGCAAGCCCCGGCUAACUAUGUGCCAGCAGCCGCGGUAAGACAUAGGGGGCUAGCGUUGUCCGGAAUUACUGGGCGUAAAGGGCACGUAGGCGGGUACUUAAGUCAGAUGUGAAAGACCGCAGCUUAACUGCGGUAUUGCAUAUGAAACUGAGUACCUUGAGGGCAGGAGAGGAAAGCAGAAUUCCUGGUGUAGCGGUGAAAUGCGUAGAAAUCAGGAGGAAUACCGGUGGCGAAGGCGGCUUUCUGGACUGACCCUGACGCUGAUGUGCGAAAGCGUGGUUAGCAAACAAAAUUAGAUACCCUGGUAGUCCACGCCGUAAACG